AUUGAACGCUGGCGGCAGGCCUAACACAUGCAAGUCGAGCGGGGGAAGGUAGCUUGCUACCGGACCUAGCGGCGGACGGGUGAGUAAUGCUUAGGAAUCUGCCUAUUAGUGGGGGACAACAUCUCGAAAGGGAUGCUAAUACCGCAUACGUCCUACGGGAGAAAGCAGGGGAUCUUCGGACCUUGCGCUAAUAGAUGAGCCUAAGUCGGAUUAGCUAGUUGGUGGGGUAAAGGCCUACCAAGGCGACGAUCUGUAGCGGGUCUGAGAGGAUGAUCCGCCACACUGGGACUGAGACACGGCCCAGACUCCUACGGGAGGCAGCAGUGGGGAAUAUUGGACAGUGGGGGGAACCCUGAUCCAGCCAUGCCGCGUGUGUGAAGAAGGCCUUAUGGUUGUAAAGCACUUUAAGCGGGGAGGAGGCUACUCUAGUUAAUACCUAGGGAUAGUGGACGUUACUCGCAGAAUAAGCACCGGCUAACUCUGUGCCAGCCGCCGCCGUAA
rnacentral:rRNA from 1 species